rnacentral:rRNA from 2 species
GGACCGGUUGAAAAGCGGCAACAAUCCGGGGAGAACCCCCAGUGGGGGAAGGCCGGCCUUCUGGUUCCUUAACUCCCCGUUGAGGCCCCCAAAGCUUUGGGUUGCCAAACAGGCCUUAGAUCCCCUUGGUCGUCCAUCCCGGAAACCCUGGAAUGCUCAGGGUUGGGAGGGUUUCCGCCCUUCAGUGGCUCCCGCUAACCCAUUUAGCUUCCCCCCUGGGGAGUACGGGCCGCCAGGCUGAAACUCAACGGAAUUGCCGGGGGCCCGCACCAGCGGUGGAGCAUGUGUUUAAAUUCGAAGCUAUGCGGAGAACCUUCCCAGGUCUUGACGUCCUAUGCAAAUCUAAGAGUUUCGCCGUUCCCUUCGGGGACAUGGAUACAGCUGGUGCAUGGUUGUCGUCAGCUCGUGUCGUGAGAUGUUGGGUUAAGUCCCGCAACGAGCGCAACCCUUAUUAUCCAGUUGCCAGCAUUAAGUCGGGCACUCUGG